GGCUCGUUGGUCUAGGGGUAUGAUUCUCGCUUUGGAUUCGAGAGGUCCCGGGUUCAAAUCCCGGACGAGCCC
rnacentral:tRNA from 1 species